AGGAGCAUGUUGACAGCUCCCAUACAAACUGAGCGUACCCCUUUUUGUGGGCCCAGUGGGCCUAAGAUGGCGGCCUUUGAUAUUAUCUAGCCAAACUUUUGAAAAAGGCUAAUAGUUUAAAUAAAUAUAGUUUUUGGCUUGUUUCGGUUUAAAACGACAAAAUAAGCUGUCUGGAAUCAUUUUCUUCAAAAACUUGUUUAGAGAUACGCCGCGUUCAAAUAUUAGUUUAGAAUAGUUGAAGUGAGCGUGCAACGAAAGCCGUCACGAAAAAAAAGUUUCCUAUGCAAAUUUUGAGUUGCGUAUUUAAUGGGCGGACUCCGACGAGGCCCACUUGCCAUCUGUCGGUGAAUACGCGCAACUCACGAAAACUGUCAGCUUAGGGCCCGGCUGGUGAUGUGUGUUGUGCAACCAUUGCUAGUUUUUUUUAUUUGCCGCUUUAGGAACAAAAAUUAGAAAGUAGUUGCACACAACUUAUUUAGAAUGUCAAGCCAUUGUUUAAGUUCUUCAAAACACCUGAGCAGCAGCGGGACGGUUCUCUAGAUUCGUUCACCGGAGAUUUGCCUGCCCAUAAAGACCACACCGACAUCGAUGUCAUGCUGAUGACCGGUUCCGAUCGAUGAGGCAGUCAACCUCGACCCGGCUGCUGGAAGAUUCAUACACCCAGGCCGGAACGGGACCGUAAAUCCAGCCGAGGACAUGAGCAGAUGGAACCUGGCGGAGUCGUUGAUUGCAGCUUGAUUAUUGUAUUUAAAGAAAGUGUAUUUUGUGUAUUUUUUCCUCAGAAAUAAACGUUGUUUUUGCCUUUUAU